UACGUAGGGUGCGAGCGUUGUCCGGAAUUAUUGGGCGUAAAGGGCUCGUAGGCGGUUUGUCGCGUCGGGAGUGAAAACACUGGGCUUAACUCAGUGCUUGCUUCCGAUACGGGCAGACUAGAGGUAUUCAGGGGGAGAACGGAAUUCCUGGUCGUAGCGGUGGAAAUGCGCAGAUAUCAGGAGGAACACCGGUGGCGAAGGCGGUUCUCUGGGCCGAUACUGACGCUGAGGAGCGAAAGCGUGGGGAGCGAACAGG
rnacentral:rRNA from 1 species